rnacentral:lncRNA from 1 species
CACGUGCUUCCUUCGUGGUCGCAACUCCUUCCCUGUCUCCGAAGGAAAGCAGUCAUCAUCUUCGUUUCCGGUGGGCAGAGACGUCCAUGGGCGUUGACGUCCUGCAGGCGUAGCACGAGAAUUUUUAAAGAAGAAGACCCCGUUAGAUUAGCCUGCUGCAGUAGAACUACUCGAGCGGGCUAUUUGAGGAGGGUCUUUGCUUGCCGGUACCUGAGCAAGCACCUGAUGGCCAGAAACAGGCGUGAACGAAUGUAGAGGAGAGAGAGACGUCACCAGCAGCCAGAUUAGGGUUGUUUUCUUGUUCUUGGAGGUGGUCGAAAAGGACGAGCCACUGCAAUCAAAUUUAUCCGAGAGCUUUAGGAAAUAUCAAUUUUCCCGAUGGGCACUUGAAUCAUCCCGAAGACACAGACUUACAAGUGGCAUUCGCAUUUUUAGGGAGAGAAAGAGCUUAUCUCCGUUCGUGACGUUACUCCGUCGCUCGCCACCAUCAUCUAUUUCUCCGACGUAAUGAAACAUUAACACGACUCUUAAUUUACUCUACUUUAGGAAGGUAGAGGAGAGGCAGAACGACG